UAAGAGAGAUGCAAGGUGGUGGUGCGGUUGGUUUGAAAUCAAAGAUUGGGGGUUCGACUCCCUCCUCUCUUGC
rnacentral:tRNA from 1 species